UAACUUAAUAGAAUUAAAAUAGAAACAUGAAAAAUAUUCAAAAGACAGAGAGAAUACACUAUAUACCAAGUAUCGAGUAAAAUAUACUUACAGAGUAUGAAUCUACGUAUCCUUAUACGGAUUAAGCUUAUCUUUUUAGGCCCCGUAGAAAGACAAUGACAAAAUGAAAAGAGAUUUGACUGUAGAUAUUCUCCAAAAAAAAGAAAAAAAAAAAGACCCGUAAAAAAGAAAACGAAAAAAUAAACAUUAGGAAGAAACUAGCGAAAGAGAAAGCCCACCAAUUGAUUUGUCUGACUCAGGGAGCUGCUCAGAGCCUGACUACCGGAGACACCCAAUAACAUACAGAAAACGAGUACAUAAAUUGAUUAAUCAAAAGGUAUAAUCGUUUCUGUUGAUUUCUUAUAUUGAUAAUCCUUUUCAAUCAUAAUUGGUAGGAUACCAUCUUAGCAUUGUUGCUAUAAAAUAGACUUAGAUGGAUCCAGCUGCUGAAGAACAAAUAGAUUAUGGUGAUGAGGAAUAUGGAGGUGCUCAAAAGCUACAAUAUCAGGGUAGUGGAGCUAUUCCAGCUCUAGCAGACGAGGAGAUGAUAGGAGAAGAUGAUGAUUAUGAGGAUCUUUAUGAUGGGGUCAAUGUUGGAGAGGGUUUCUUGCAAUUUCAUCGGUCUGAGGCACAAGGUCCUCCUAAUAAUAAUGUAGGAAAUGGUGGUAUCCAAACUCAAACCUUUAAUACCCCUCAACCUAGACAAGAAGCUGGUGUAUCUCAUAAUCUGGGAAAUUCCGGGGUUGCUUCUGAUGGAAGACUCCAAAAUGCAAGUCUUGGUGUUAAAGAACUAGAAAUGGGAUCUUCUAAUCAUAUUAGUGGGGCUUUGGGGCCAGAAAAGAGAAUUCAUGAUACUGCUUCUGGGAAUAUGGAGUUCCAAGGUUCGGCCCCUAUUGCUCAAAAUACUACAGGUAGUGUUCCAGACAUUAGUAAAGCUACUAAUCACGUAAGUGGGGGUCCAAGUGCUUCCCAAGGGAUUGUAUAUAAUCAGAUGUCGGCAAAUGCAAACAUGAAUAUGGACCAUAUGAUGGUCAAUGACAAUAUCAUCCGGCCACAAAUGGAUAACGGUCCAACCAUGUUGUUUGUGGGUGAGAUACAUUGGUGGACCACUGAUGCGGAGCUUGAAAGUGUAUUGUCUCAUUAUGGAAAGGUCAAGGACAUAAAAUUUUUUGACGAAAGAGCAAGUGGAAAAUCAAAAGGUUACUGCCAAGUUGAGUUUUAUGAUGCUUCUGCUGCUGCUGCAUGCAAAGAGGGAAUGAAUGGACACAAUUUCAAUGGACGGGCAUGUGUAGUGGCUUUUGCUUCACCCCAAACUUUGAAGCAGAUGGGAGCUGCCUAUGCAAGCAAGAACCCACAGCAGCCUCAGUCUCAGCCUCAGGGAAGAAGAAAUGUAACUGAGGGCGCUGGAAGAGGUGGUGGGAUGAACUUAUCAGCUGGUGAGGGAGGAAGAGGUUUUGGAAGAGGUGGAUGGGGACGAGGAGGACAGGGUGCUGCUGCUAGGGGUCCUGGUGGUUCAGGGCCAAGGGGAAGAGGACCUAUGGGCCCCAAGAAUGGCCUUGGGAAUGUUGGUGGAAUGGGUGGUGCUGCUAUGGGCAAUUUCGGGCAAGGUCUUGGAAACCCUGGAUUUGGGGGUCCAGGUGGAGGAAUGAUGCAUCCUCAAGCCAUGAUGGGUCCUGGAUUUGAUCCAUCAUAUAUGGGCCGAGGAGCUGGGUAUGGAGGCUUUUCUGGCCCUGCCUUUCCUGGAAUGAUGCCUCCCUUUCCAUCUGUUAAUCCUAUGGGUAUUUCUGGUGUGGCUCCUCAUGUUAACCCUGCCUUUUUUGGCCGUGGUAUGACACCAAAUGGAAUGGGGAUGAUGGGUAGCACUGGAAUGGAAGGACAUCCCGGGGGGAUGUGGGCUGAUCCUGCUAUGGGUGGAUGGGCUGGGGAAGAACAUGGGCAGAAGACAAGAGAGUCAAGUUAUGGUGGUGAUGAUGGUGCUUCUGACUAUAGAUUUGGGGAGGAAAACCCUGAAAAGAGUUCUAGGACAAAUGCUGCCCCUCGAGAAAAGGAAAGAGCUUCUGAGCGUGACUGGUCUGGAAACUCUGAGAGGAGAUAUCGUGAUGAGAGAGAGCAAGAUUAUGAUAGACCUGAUAGAGAACGCAGGCAUAGAAAAGACAAGGAUGGCUAUAGAGAUCAUCGUCGAAAGGAACGUGAUUCGGGUUAUGAGGAUGAUUGGGACAGGGGACAGUCUUCGUCAAGAUCUAGGAGCAGGUCCCGGGCUAUUCCAGAAGAUGGUCACAGGUCCAGGUCAAGGGAUGUUGAUUAUGGGAAGAGGAGACGUGCUCCAUCAGAGUAAUUGGUUAUCUUCACAUGUAUGUACUGUCAAAUGUGGCCGUCAUCAAUCUUCAUGUUUGCUAUCACAUGGUCUCCUUCUUACUGCAGUUUUCUGAUUUUGGCCAAGCUUUCUAGGUUCCUGCUUGUUGCAGCUGUUCUGGAUUUUCACUACCAAAAGGAGCACUCUUUGCUUCGUGAUUGAAUCAGCCUAUGUUGAUUAUCCAGAGAAAGAUGUUUUAUGGCUGCCUGCAGUAAAUUCCUCUAUAAUGGCCUUCCAUGUUUUCAGAGGAGCUUUUAUGAUUGUGCUUGAAGAAUGUGUCUUUAAGGGAAAAUAUUAUUAACUGUUUAUAACUAAAAUGCUACAGAUUUGCAAUCAAAUUUGUGAAGUGUAAUCAUUUUCUUGUAACUUUUAAUGUACUCUUGUAUGGCUGCUAUUAGUGCACGUCACUUUGUAUCUGUAGAUAUAACUUAGGAGAGUCAUAGCUUUUUGUUGUAAAUGAUUCCUGUAAGGCUUAACAACUUGUUUCUGUAAACAAGGGUGGCUAUUUUUCAAGAACCACCCUUCUGAUGUAUACUGGUGCUUCUAAAUUUUGUAAACUUGGGUGACACCAGUACACAUUGAUGACCAAAUUCGAGAUAGCAGCAUAUUCCAGAGGCAGUGUAGCUUGCAUGGGUUAAUUUUUCAUUUAACCCAUGUAAAGAAGUCUGGUUCUUGGCUUUUAGUCUGACCUGCCUUUCUUGCGCUUGGAGCAGGUCUUAUGCAUAUUAAUUGUAGUUUCUCAUUUUUCUUUUUAGGAUAGAGUGAUAGACUAGCUUGUAAAUUUACUGAUGCAGUUUAGUGAGGAUUUUUUUUUAUUUUUUUUAUACCCUCACUUCAGCUGUUAGCAGUUUACCACACAACAGAAACUAGGUUUUUAUUUUAUUUUAUUUGAAACAAAACUAGGUUAUUCUUCAUCUUUUGUACAUAGGAUUCACUUUAUUUUUGAAUAGUUCUGUAAAAUUGUGUACAGGUAUAUUCUUUGUACCGACAUUUUAAACAUUGGCGGGCCUGGAGACAUGAAAUAUUUCAUCUAAUUUGUCUAUAUAAUCCAUUCCAAGUAGUAUUAGAUUGGAA